rnacentral:misc_RNA from 1 species
AAGUCGUAACAAGGUUUCCGUAGGUGAACCUGCGGAAGGAUCAUUAUCGAGUUUUGAACGGGUUGUAGCUGGCCUUUAACGAGGCAUGUGCACACCUGGCUCAUCCACUCUCAACCUCUGUGCACUUUAUGUAAGAAACGGUGUAAGCCAGCUAUUUAAUAGUUGGUAACAAGCCUUUCUUAUGUUUACUACAAACGCUUCAGUUAUAGAAUGUUUACUGUGUAUAACACAAUUAUAUACAACUUUCAACAACGGAUCUCUUGGCUCCA